rnacentral:snRNA from 1 species
CUACUUGUCUGGAAGAGGUGGUUCCAUGAUCAUCAAGGGUGAGGCUUAUCCAUUGUACUCUGAUUUCCCCAAAUGUGGGGAAACUUGACUGUAUAAUUUGUGGUAGUAGGGGACUGUGUUUGCACUCUCUUCUA